CGUCUAGGCGGGGAAUUAAGUUAGGUGUGAAAUCCAUGGGCUCAACUCGUGAAUUGCAUCUAAAACUGGUUCUCUUGAGUCCGGGAGAGGAGAGCAGAAUUCCUGGUGUAGCGGUGAAAUGCGUAGAUAUCAGGAGGAAUACCAGUGGCGAAGGCGGCUCUCUGGCCUAGGACUGACGCUGAAGCGCGAAAGCGUAGGGAGCGAACG
rnacentral:rRNA from 1 species